rnacentral:rRNA from 1 species
UCAAAAACAUGUCUUUUUGGUAAUAAUUUAAAGUCUAAUCUGCCCACUGAUAUUUAUAUUAAAGGGCUGCAGUAUAUUGACUGUACAAAGGUAGCAUAAUCAUUAGUCUUUUAAUUGGGGACUCGUAUGAAGGAUUUGAUGAAAUAUAGACUGUCUCUAAUUUUUAAAAAUAAAAUUUAAUUUUUUAGUUAAAAAGCUAAAAUAUUAUUAAAAGACGAGAAGACCCUAUAAAGUUUUAUAAUUUAUUUAUUUAAUAUAAAAUAUAUAAUUAAAUAUAAUAAUUAAAUAAAUUAUUUUAUUGGGGUGAUAGAAAAAUUUAAUAAACUUUUUUUUUUAACAUAAACAUAUAUAAGUGAUAAAAUGAUCCAUUUAUUAAUGAUUAAAAGAAAAAAUUACUUUAGGGAUAACAGCGUAAUAUUUUUUUUUAGUACAAAUAAAAAAAAAGUUUGCGACCUCGAUGUUGGAUUAAGAUAAAAUUUAAAUGCAAAAGUUUAAAAUUUUGAUCUGUUCGAUCAUUAAAAUCUUACAUGAGCUGAGCU